CUGCGUGGAGCCGACCUUGAAAUACCACCCUUUAAUGUUUGAUGUUCUAACGUGGAUCCGUAAUCCGGGUUGCGGACAGUGUCUGGUGGGUAGUUUGACUGGGGCGGUCUCCUCCUAAAGAGUAACGGAGGAGCACGAAGGUUGGCUAAUCCUGGUCGGACAUCAGGAGGUUAGUGCAAUGGCAUAAGCCAGCUUGACUGCGAGCGUGACGGCGCGAGCAGGUGCGAAAGCAGGUCAUAGUGAUCCGGUGGUUCUGAAUGGAAGGGCCAUCGCUCAACGGAUAAAAGGUACUCCGGGGAUAACAGGCUGAUACCGCCCAAGAGUUCAUAUCGACGGCGGUGUUUGGCACCUCGAUGUCGGCUCAUCACAUCCUGGGGCUGAAGUAGGUCCCAAGGGUAUGGCUGUUCGCCAUUUAAAGUGGUACGCGAGCUGGGUUUAGAACGUCGUGAGACAGUUCGGUCCCUAUCUGCCGUGGGCGCUGGAGAACUGAGGGGGGCUGCUCCUAGUACGAGAGGACCGGAGUGGACGCAUCACUGGUGUUCGGGUUGUCAUGCCAAUGGCACUGCCCGGUAGCUAAAUGCGGAAGAGAUAAGUGCUGAAAGCAUCUAAGCACGAAACUUGCCCCGA
rnacentral:rRNA from 2 species